rnacentral:lncRNA from 1 species
AGUCCGCUAGAGUCCGCGCGCCGGGCAACCGCCCGGGGCUGAAGUCCUCCCCACACCAUGAUCCUUCCGUCCUUUAUUUUCUUUCUUUUUAAAAAGAAACAAGAUCUUGCUCUGUCGCCCAGGCUGGAGUGCAGUGCGCGAUCAUAGCUCACUGCAGCCUUGAACUCUUGGGCUAAUUUUUAUUUUUUGUAGAGAUGGGGUCUCGCUACGUUGCCCAGGUGGGUCUCAAACUCCCCCCGCCUCCCGUCUCGACCUCCCAAAGUGCUGGGACUACAGGCGUGAGUCAUUACCCCUGCCCCGCACCCUGUUUCUGUUCCAUCACCAGGACCCUCCCUGCCGCACCGAAGCUCGGGGGCCCAGUGACCAGGCCGAGGUCACACAGUGACAAGUGGCUGGGCUGGGACCUCACUCACUCUCCUAACGUCAUGGCUUCCAUCUGUUUAACCCUACGUGACUGCUCCUUCCACUGACAGCUGAAAGAAUAAAAUCUCCGAUUUAAACAAAAAGUUUGCCGGGCGCGGUGGCUCACGCCUGUAAUCCCAGCACUUUGGGAGGCCAAGGCAGGCGGAUCACGGGGUCAGGAGUUCGAGACCAGCCUGGCCAACUUGGUGAAAACCCGUCUCUACUAAAGAUACAAAAAUUAGCUGAGUGUUGUGGCGCACGCCUGUAAUCCCAGCUACUGGGGAGGCUGAGGCAAGAGAAUCACUUGCAACCGGGAGGCGGAGGAUGCAGUCAGCGAGAUGGCGCCACUGCAUUCCAGCCUGGGUGACAGGGCAAGACUCCGUCUCUAAACAAACAAACAAACAAACAAACAGGUUUUUAGCCGGGUGCGGUGGCUCACGCCCGUAACUCCAACACUUUGGGAGGCCGAGGCAGGAGGAUCGCUUGAGCUCAGGAUCGCUAUAGAUCGAAAGCAGCCUGGGUAACAUAGUGAGAACACCUGAUCUACAAAAAAAUUAGCCGGGCGUCGUGGCGGGCGCCUGUAGUCCCAGCUACUCAGGAGGCUGAGGCAGGAGAACGGUGUAAACCCAGGAGGCGGACCUUGCAGUGAGCGAGAUGGCGCCACCGCACUCCAGCCUGGGCGACAGAGCAAGACUCCGUCUCAAAAAAAAUAAAAAAUAAAUCAAUAAAUUAAAUAAAUAAAAAUUCCAGACAUUGUAUGAGGAAGCAUUGCAAAACUUUCUGUUCUGUUAGCUGUUGCCUGUAGCCCCCAGUCAUGUUCCCCACGCUUGCUCGAUCUCUCACUAAACUUUCACGUAGACCCUUAGAGUUACAAGCCCUUAAAAGGGCCAAGAAUUUCUUUUUCAGGGACCUCGGUUGCAAGUCUGCCGAAGUUCCCGGCCUAAUACAGCCCUUCUUUAAUCCGGUGUCUGAGUUUUGUCUGCGGCUCGUCCUGCUGCAGGAGGAUCACCUGAGCCCGGGAGUUUGAAGUUGCAGUGAGCCCAGAUCGUGCCUCUGCACUCCAGCCUGGGCGACAGAGUGAGGCCAUGUCCAAAAAACACAAAAACAAAAAACAAACAAAACUCCAAAACAUCAAUGAAGUUUUGAAAAUAAAAAUAAAAAAAUAAAAAUGCUAAGAUGCAUCCCUAAAAGUCAUAUGUGCCAUUCAAAAGGGGUAUUUCAUUUAGUGGGACUCCAGCCCAAAAUAUUAGAAAGUUCGGUUGGUCAUAAAAAAAAAAAAAGUGAAUAAAAUAAAUGACCUCCAGAAAAGUCUGAUGCACACAGGCCAGUAUGGUGUAAAUUUCUUAGAUAACUCCAGCAUCUCUUUGUAAGAUUUAUUUUCCAUUCCAUAACUACGGAUAUUGACAUAGCAUCUCAUUGUUUCUUUAGUUUCAUUUUUUCAUUGAUUUUUUGUUCUUUUUUAGCUUCGAGUUACUUCCAGAACGUCGCAGCACACGUUAUCACUUCCUGCAUGACGUCUUUAUAGAAUUUGGUGACAAUGUCGCAGUCCAGGAGGGAGGCCCGCAGCCAGCAUCACCAGCCCCUUCCUGUUUGCACAGGCAGGGAGGAGAACGGCAGCUCCCAGGCUUCCACUGGGGAGUCCCUCCGGCUUUCUCCGGGAUUCCGCCCGCCCCAGGGUCUCAGACCAACAGAAGGACCCGGGAUCCCUCAGCAGCUCCGGACCUCAUCUGCCCCACUUCGGCAUCCCGCGCGGGAAUAUGACCAUGUAGGAGUAACCCGGGGCUCUCAAGGACUCUACGGUUUGUCACGGUUUGAACGCAAGCGCAGGGCCUGGGGCGGGUGCAGGUGGAGGGUCGGCCUCUUUCUGCCCUUGGGAACGCCCCUUUCUGGAUGUGGACCGGCGAGGCGGUCUCUCCUUUCUGCCCUCGCCUGGUGAAAUGUGGGCACUGCUGCCAGGAGAAAAAAAACUGAAGCUGUGAAUUCAGUUCAUCACCCUUCCCUUGUUUAUUAAAAAAUCGGACCUUGGCCGGGCGCGGUGGCUCACGCCUGUAAUCCCAGCACUUUGGGAGGCCGAGGCAGGCAGAUUAGGAGGUCAGGAGAUCGAGACCAUCUUGGUUAACACGGUGAAGCCCGGUCUCUACUAAAAAUACAAAAAAGUUAGCAGGGUGGUGGCGGUCGCCUGUUGUCCCAGCUGCUCGGGAGGCUGAGGCAGGAGAAUGGCGUGAACCCGGGAGGCGGAGCUUGCAGUGAGCCGAGGUCGUGCCACUGCACUCCAGCCUGGGUGAAAAAAUAAAAAAAAAAAAAGAUCAGGACCUUUACCCGCGCUGACGGUGAUUGGUUUUCAUGACCAAUAAAGAAAUUCGAAUGAGAUGAAGCUACUUACACCUGUGUUUUUACUGUUCCUUUAAAAUGCCCUAAUUUCACAACCAUGUGAAAAUUCCUGCCAUCUCUCCCCCAAGGCAUUUAUACAAGGAUGUACUUAGAUAUUUAGAUGUAUUUAAAUUUAUGCUUUUCUUUUCUUUUUUUUUUUUUUUUGAGACGGAGUCUGACUCUGUUUCCCAGGCUGGAGUGCAGGGCGUGAUCUCGGCUCACUGCGACCUCUGCCUUCCGGGUUCAAGAGAUUCUCCUGACUCAGCCUCCUGAGUAGCUGGGAUUACAGGCGCGCCAUCAAGCUCAGCUAAUUUUUUGUAUUUUUAGUAGAGCCAGUUUCACCAUUUUGGCCAGGCUGGUCUCGAACUCAUGACCUCAAGUGAUCCGCCCGCCUCAACCUCCCAAAGUGCUGGGAUUACAGGCGUAAACCACCGCACCCGGCCCAAACUGAUGCUUUUUACCGACAGAUGAAGGAAAUUCUUAAAUGCUCACAAUUGUUAUCUGCCUUUUUAAAAUUAGAGGGAUGCUGGGUUUAACAUUUUUCAUUUAAGAUCCCACGGAGAAUUAACAUAAUAAUUUCUCCGUAGGUAAAGAGGUAAUUUGAUGAAUGUUACUAGUUUUCUUUCAAAUAGCUAUUUGGAUUAUUG